GGCGAGAUGGCCGAGCGGUCUAAGGCGCUGUGUUAAGGUUUUCAUCGACUGGUACCGCAGUCCGAAAGGGCGUGGGUUCGAAUCCCACUCUCGUCA